ensembl:snRNA U6 U6 spliceosomal RNA
GUGCUCACUUCAGCAGCACAUAUAUAUACAUAUGAUACAGAGAAGAUUAACAUGGCUCCUGUGUAUGGGUGACAUGCAAAUUUGUGACGGAUUCCUUUUUUUA